GGGGACUUGCGGCGUGCUAUACAUGCAGUCGAGCGAAUGGAUUAAGAGCUUGCUCUUAUGAAGUUAGCGGCGGACGGGUGAGUAACACGUGGGUAACCUGCCCAUAAGACUGGGAUAACUCCGGGAAACCGGGGCUAAUACCGGAUAACAUUUUGAACUGCAUGGUUCGAAAUUGAAAGGCGGCUUCGGCUGUCACUUAUGGAUGGACCCGCGUCGCAUUAGCUAGUUGGUGAGGUAACGGCUCACCAAGGCAACGAUGCGUAGCCGACCUGAGAGGGUGAUCGGCCACACUGGGACUGAGACACGGCCCAGACUCCUACGGGAGGCAGCAGUAGGGAAUCUUCCGCAAUGGACGAAAGUCUGACGGAGCAACGCCGCGUGAGUGAUGAAGGCUUUCGGGUCGUAAAACUCUGUUGUUAGGGAAGAACAAGUGCUAGUUGAAUAAGCUGGCACCUUGACGGUACCUAACCAGAAAGCCACGGCUAACUACGUGCCAGCAGCCGCGGUAAUACGUAGGUGGCAAGCGUUAUCCGGAAUUAUUGGGCGUAAAGCGCGCGCAGGUGGUUUCUUAAGUCUGAUGUGAAAGCCCACGGCUCAACCGUGGAGGGUCAUUGGAAACUGGGAGACUUGAGUGCAGAAGAGGAAAGUGGAAUUCCAUGUGUAGCGGUGAAAUGCGUAGAGAUAUGGAGGAACACCAGUGGCGAAGGCGACUUUCUGGUGUGUAACUGACACUGAGGCGCGAAAGCGUGGGGAGCGAAACAGGAUUAGAUACCCUGGUAGUCCACGCCGUAACGAUGAGUGCUAAGUGUUAGGAGGGUUUCCGCCCUUUAGUGCUGAGAUUAACGCAUUAACACUCCGCCUGGCGAGGGACGGGCCGCGGGGCUGAGACUCAAGAAUUGACAUGGGCGCGGCGCAGCUUUGAGCAUGUGUUGUAGUUCUAAUCACCGCAACAACCUUACCGGGGCGUGGGGUGCGUCUGAACCCGUAGAGGUAUGACGUUCGUGCGUUCCCCACAGAGGUGACAGAUGAUACAGUGGUGUCGUGCGUUCUCCUCUCAUCAAGAGUU
rnacentral:rRNA from 1 species